rnacentral:rRNA from 1 species
GUCUACGGCCAUACCACCCUGAACCUGCCCAAUCUCAUCUGAUCGUGGAAGCUAAGGAGGGUGGGGCCUGGUUAGUACUUGGAUGGGAACUUACAUUUUUAAAAUAAUGAUUUUGUUUGGG